rnacentral:rRNA from 1 species
UACGGAGGGGGCUAGCGUUGUUCGGAAUUACUGGGCGUAAAGCGCGCGUAGGCGGCUUUGUAAGUUAGAGGUGAAAGCCCGGAGCUCAACUCCGGAAUUGCCUUUAAGACUGCAUCGCUAGAAUCAUGGAGAGGUGAGUGGAAUUCCGAGUGUAGAGGUGAAAUUCGUAGAUAUUAGGAAGAACACCAGUGGCGAAGGCGGCUCACUGGCCCGGUACUGACGCUGAGGCGCGAAAGCGUGGGGAGCAAACAGG